rnacentral:rRNA from 1 species
UACGAAGGGGGCUAGCGUUGCUCGGAAUCACUGGGCGUAAAGGGUGCGUAGGCGGGUCUUUAAGUCAGGGGGGAAAUCCUGGAGCUCAACUCCAGAACUGCCUUUGAUACUGAAGAUCUUGAGUUCGGGAGAGGUGAGUGGAACUGCGAGUGUAGAGGUGAAAUUCGUAGAUAUUCGCAAGAACACCAGUGGCGAAGGCGGCUCACGGGCCCGAUACUGACGCUGAGGCACGAAAGCGUGGGGAGCAAACAGG